GGGGGCGUAGCUCAAUUGGUUAGAGCGCUGGCCUGUCACGCCAGAGGUCGCGGGUUCGAGUCCCGUCGCUCCCGCCA
rnacentral:tRNA from 2 species